GACUCAAAAGAAGAUAUCCAUUAAAAACAAUAAGUUCAUACAACCCCAAGAAUAUAAAAUAAAAUAUAAAAUCCGUGUCCCUUUGUUAGGGCUGCAUCCAGCCCUGGAGAAGAGCUCAGGCUUCAUGCAGUGGUAGACGGAAGCAGCAGUACAGCAGCGGGCUUCCAUAUGGCUCACGAUCAGCUUCCUUUUUCCUCCCUCCUUCCUUCUUCCUCUCUCAACACUUCAUUGUUAUUAUUAUUUUUUUAUAUGUCGGAAGUUAUUCCCAAAAUAACCAAACUACUCUCUCACUCAUGCACUGGGAUUUCAGCCUCCGAGAAGCGAUGCCCCAAGGAAGAAAGCUCUCCUCCUUUUAUAGCUUCACCAGCAC
rnacentral:lncRNA from 1 species